rnacentral:rRNA from 1 species
UCGGUUUUCCUGCGACACUGAAAAUAAAUUUCCAACGUCUAACACACAUCGUUUACGGCAUGGACUACGAGGGUAUCUAAUCCUCUUCGCUACCCAUGCUCUCGUUCCUCAGUGUCAGUAAUGAUCCAGAAAGCUGCCUUCGCAAUUGGUAUUCUUUCUAAUAUCUACGAAUUUCACCUCUACACUAGAAAUUCUGCUUUCCUCUAUCAUACUCUAGCUGAAAAGUUUUGAUGGCAGUUCCAGAGUUAAGCUCUGGGAUUUCACCACCAACUUUUUCAACCACCUACGAACUCUUUAAGCCCAGUAAUUCCGAACUACGCUAGGUCCCUUCGUAUUACCGCGGCUGCUGGCACGAAGUUAGCCGGACCUUCUUAUUCGGGUACAGUCAUUUUCUUCCCCGACGAAAGAGCUUUACAACCCAAAGGCCUUCUUCACUCACGCGGCAUCGCUGCAUCAGAGUUUCCUCCAUUGUGCAAGAUUCCCCACUGCUGCCUCCCGUAGGAGUUUGGGCCGUGUCUCAGUCCCAAUGUGGCUGAUCAUCCUCUCAAAUCAGCUAUUGAUCAUAGUCUUGGUAGGCCAUUACCCUACCAACAAACUAAUCAAGUGCGGGCUCAUCCAAUGGUGCAUAAAGCUUUCUCCGUAAAGACUUAUCCGGUAUUAGCACAAGUUUCCUCGUGUUAUUCCAGGCCAAAGGGUAGAUACCCACAUGUUACUCACCCGUCUGCCACUAAGUAUUGCUACUUCGUUCGACUUGCAUGUGUUAGGCGUGCCGCCAGCGUACGUUCUGAGCCAGGAUCAAACUCU